GACCAUCAGGAUCGUUGCAAUUACUAACUCCUCUCCUCCGGCUGCGGCUCCUGCUGGGUGACAUGCAGUCCCUCAUUUCUCCUGUGACCAAGGCUAUUCUGGUAGCUUUGUUCAUCUUUGCCAUCCUCCUGAUCCUCUAUGUGAUUCUCUGGUACAUCUGCCGAGACGUGGAUUGCGAUCACGGAAUCUGAGCUGGGAUGCUGGGCAGCGGCUUAACAUAGCAAGUGACAGACACACAAGCCAAACCAAAAUCGAAGCCAGCCAAAAGAGCCCAGGGGAGAGAGCCACAGCCGAGGCACAACCUGAGAUUGACCUUCAGAGAUCAGGGUGACCCGUAUGAUAAAAUAAGUGGAUCGGCCAUGAAUAAUGCAGAUUUGUAAGCUGUGUUCAAGAACUUACAUGAAUUUACCACACUGUGAGGAAUCAAGUUUCUAUCUCCUUGGACUAUCCCCUUCCAGACACCAAGUUGAGACCAAAUUCAUUUAACUUGAUUCUGCCAGUGGGACUGAAUAUGGGAUCCAGAGAUCAAAGCUGUGCUAAAGGGACAUUAUAUCACAGAAACAUGGAAGGCCAAGAAAAUCUAUGGACAAAAAAUGCACUCUCAGAGUAAGAAAGGUUGGAUGUGGCACCUCAAAGUUAUCUUAUCACAUCUCCCUAUCUCUCCACAUGCAAGGAAGCAAUAACAACAAUGCUAAG